UGAUAGCAAUGAAGCGUGAGGUUGCUGCUAAAAAGCAUGCUGUUGACCCAUAAGCUGCUUGAGCAGGUUUUUCCGUGGAGCGAAUGUCAUGUAAUGAUACUGGCGACAA
rnacentral:ncRNA from 1 species